AGCAAAGUUUCACGGAAUAUUGUCAAAAUCCUCUUAUGAAAAGAAUAAAAAAAAAGCCAAAAAAUGCCCCCACCAAUAACCGGGGUGUGUUCUGGCAUGCUUCUGUACAUCAGGCAUCUUCCAUAAUUUCCACCGCAACACUUGCACAAAUUUAUUAAAAUAGAGGUACGGGCACAAAUGUCAAAUAUGGGGAGUUUCUGAAUAUCACAUGUAAAUGUAAACCCAUAGAACUCGAGGGAAUUAUUUGUACAAAAUGCUGCGUUUAUUUAGUAAUGGCGAAAUCGGCCACUACAUCACAUGGGUGAAGGUGGCGUUGUAUUGCAUCAGUGUCACCCCUCAAGAGUUCGACUGCAGCGCUGCUUGUACGGAUGAAUUAUAUCAUUUCUAGCCCGAGUUUUGUAAGAUUGCGUCUGAUGGAUUACUAGAACUCGUCCAAUUGCAGAAAGGGAGGGUACAUCAGAUUUCAGAAUGUUGGAAGGUGUUUUGCACUUGUUUGCUUUUCUUUUUUAGUUUAAAAUUCUAUGACUCAUUAGUCAAAAGCGUUUAAUUGUAUUUGUAUGCCUGUGACAUAACUCUCAAUAUAGAGCUUCAGUCCAGUCAAUGUUUAAGCAUUAAAACACAGUUCACUAAUCAAUCUAGACUCAUUGGUCAAAAUGUCAUGAUUUCAAGUGCUUAAUUGGAUGCCUAUGACAUACCUCUUGAUAUAGAACUUAUGUAGAGCCUCAAAUCAAGUCAAAGUUUAAGCAUUAAACAAC
rnacentral:lncRNA from 1 species